AGAGUUUGAUCAUGGCUCAGGACGAACGCUGGCGGCGUGCCUAAUACAUGCAAGUCGAGCGAGCUUGCCUAGAUGAUUUUAGUGCUUGCACUAAAUGAAACUAGAUACAAGCGAGCGGCGGACGGGUGAGUAACACGUGGGUAACCUGCCCAAGAGACUGGGAUAACACCUGGAAACAGAUGCUAAUACCGGAUAACAACACUAGACGCAUGUCUAGAGUUUGAAAGAUGGUUCUGCUAUCACUCUUGGAUGGACCUGCGGUGCAUUAGCUAGUUGGUAAGGUAACGGCUUACCAAGGCAAUGAUGCAUAGCCGAGUUGAGAGACUGAUCGGCCACAUUGGGACUGAGACACGGCCCAAACUCCUACGGGAGGCAGCAGUAGGGAAUCUUCCACAAUGGACGAAAGUCUGAUGGAGCAACGCCGCGUGAGUGAAGAAGGGUUUCGGCUCGUAAAGCUCUGUUGGUAGUGAAGAAAGAUAGAGGUAGUAACUGGCCUUUAUUUGACGGUAAUUACUUAGAAAGUCACGGCUAACUACGUGCCAGCAGCCGCGGUAAUACGUAGGUGGCAAGCGUUGUCCGGAUUUAUUGGGCGUAAAGCGAGUGCAGGCGGUUCAAUAAGUCUGAUGUGAAAGCCUUCGGCUCAACCGGAGAAUUGCAUCAGAAACUGUUGAACUUGAGUGCAGAAGAGGAGAGUGGAACUCCAUGUGUAGCGGUGGAAUGCGUAGAUAUAUGGAAGAACACCAGUGGCGAGGGCGGCUCUCUGGUCUGCAACUGACGCUGAGGCUCGAAAGCAUGGGUAGCGAACAGGAUUAGAUACCCUGGUAGUCCAUGCCGUAAACGAUGAGUGCUAAGUGUUGGGAGGUUUCCGCCUCUCAGUGCUGCAGCU
rnacentral:rRNA from 1 species